rnacentral:tRNA from 1 species
AACAGAGAGCCUGAUUAAAGGGCCAUUUUGAUAGAGUGGAUUAUGUAAAGUUUACCUCUGUUU